AAACUCAUAAGUAAUCUAAUUAUGAUUCUAGAAAUUUAUAAAGCAAAAAAAUGAUAAAAUAAAGAGUGAAAAUGUAAAGCAUUGUCUAUAAGUAGUCUCAACUCAACCGCAUACUUCUUUUUGGAACAAAUGGAAUUGGUAACAAUUUAAUAGUUCCCUUCUACUAUGACUUAUCGUAUACCCAUCCCACUUGAUAUCUCC
rnacentral:lncRNA from 1 species